rnacentral:rRNA from 1 species
UCUUGCGUUAGGUGGACAUGCUGGAAAGCAUGGCAAUAAAGGGUGAUAGCCCCGUAACCAACAGCGCAUUAUCAGUGAAAUCGAGUAGGACGGGACACGUGUUAUCCUGUCUGAAUAUGGGGGGACCAUCCUCCAAGGCUAAAUACUCCUGACUGACCGAUAGUGAACCAGUACCGUGAGGGAAAGGCGAAAAGUACCCCUGUGAGGGGAGUGAAAUAGAACCUGAAACCGUGUACGUACAAGCA